AUUGAACGCUGGCGGCAGGCCUAACACAUGCAAGUCGAGCGGAUGAAGGGAGCUUGCUCCUGGAUUCAGCGGCGGACGGGUGAGUAAUGCCUAGGAAUCUGCCUGGUAGUGGGGGAUAACGUCCGGAAACGGGCGCUAAUACCGCAUACGUCCUGAGGGAGAAAGUGGGGGAUCUUCGGACCUCACGCUAUCAGAUGAGCCUAGGUCGGAUUAGCUAGUUGGUGGGGUAAAGGCCUACCAAGGCGACGAUCCGUAACUGGUCUGAGAGGAUGAUCAGUCACACUGGAGCUGAGACACGGUCCAGACUCCUACGGGAGGCAGCAGUGGGGAAUAUUGGACCAUGGGCGAAAGCCUGAUCCCGCCCAGCCGCGUGUGUGGAGAAGGUCUUCGGAUUGUAAAACCCUUUAAGUUGGGAGGAAGGGCAGUAAGUUAAUACCUUGCUGUUUUGACGUUAACAACAGAAUAAGCACCGGCUAACUUCGUG
rnacentral:rRNA from 1 species